UUUCGCAAUGCCCGAAAGGGUGACGAAGCGACGCCGCGUGGGUGAGGAAGGCCUUCGGGUUGUAAAGCCCUGCCAGGAGUUAAGAAAUGUAAGUGCGCUAAUACCGCAUUUAUUUGACGAAGGCUCCAAAGGAAGUCACGGCUAACUCUGUGCCAGCAGCCGCGGUAAUACAGAGGUGGCAAGCGUUGUUCGGAAUUAUUGGGCGUAAAGAGCACGUAGGUGGGUCUGUAAGUCAGAUGUGAAAGCCUCCUGUUCAACGGGAGAAUUGCAUCUGAAACUACAGAUCUUGAGUGUAGGAGGGGAGAAUGGAACUUCUGGUGGAGCGGUGAAAUGCGUAGAUAUCAGAAGGAACGCCGGCGGCGAAAGCGAUUCUCUGGCCUAUUACUGACACUCAGUGUGCGAAAGCUAGGGUAGCAAACGGGAUUAGAUACCCCGGUAGUCCUAGCCGUAAACGAUGGGCACUAAGUAGAGGGGUUUUA
rnacentral:rRNA from 1 species